rnacentral:sRNA from 1 species
AAGAGAGAAAAAAAAAAAAGGAAAAAAAACUA